GGGAGCCGUAUGACGCGAGAGUGUCACGUACGGUUCUAGGAGCGCGCGGGUGAGAUUCCCCCGCGCGACUCGCC
rnacentral:ncRNA from 1 species